UACAGCUAACCAAAGGACAAAAUUCAACAUUUUUUUAAUAAUUAUUGAUCUAGAGAGUCCACAGAAUAUUACUGCAGUGGUUUGGUUCCGAUCGGGCAAAAAACCUAGGACUAGUUCGCAAAAGUAGGUUUUUAACAUAUUUGUGAAUAACAAUUGAACGAUUUGAUUGACAGCAAUGGUUCUUGAGGCAAAGUUGUGCAAUACGAGGAGAUCUAUCAAAUGAUAUGCAUAUUGUGUUGAUAUGUGAAACACCACGUGAUUACAGAGCCAUAAAACUCGUUAGCGCCAACUAGUGGCCGAUUUCUUUCAAAAUUCUUACAGACCUUAAGGUUCAUGAGUCGAACGUACCCAGCGAGUUUCGUUCCGAUCAACAUCCGUUAACCCUUUCAAAUAGGUGCUUAAAUUUGUUUGGCCAAUGGCGGCCAUGUUUUUUUGAGAUAUGCUAAUGUCCUCAUAUGUACUUGUGCCCCUUCAGACCAAGACACUGCAUACCAAUUUUCAAGUCGAUUGAGCCAACGGUUGCCUAGUUAUAGCAAUUUAUGUGUUUUUUCUAUCUUAUAGCGCCCCCAAGUGGCAGAGAUGCGCAAUUUUUU